AUUGAACGCUGGCGGCAUGCUUUACACAUGCAAGUCGAACGCGAAAGGGGGCAACCCUGAGUAGAGUGGCGCACGGGUGAGUAAUGCAUCGGAACGUGUCCUGUAGCGGGGGAUAACCUAGCGACAGCUAGGCUAAUACCGCAUACGCCCUGAGGGGGAAAGUGGGGGAUCGCAAGACCUCACACUAUAGGAGCGGCCGAUGCCGGAUUAGCUAGUUGGUGGGGUAAAAGCUCACCAAGGCGACGAUCCGUAGCUGGUCUGAGAGGAUGAUCAGCCACACUGGGACUGAGACACGGCCCAGACUCCUACGGGAGGCAGCAGUGGGGAAUUUUGGACAAUGGGGGCAACCCUGAUCCAGCCAUGCCGCGUGAGUGAAGAAGGCCUUCGGGUUGUAAAGCUCUUUCGGCCGGGACGAAAUCGCAUAGGUGAAUAUCCUGUGUGGAUGACGGUACCGGAAUAAGAAGCACCGGCUAACUACGUGCCAGCCGCCGCGGUAA
rnacentral:rRNA from 1 species